rnacentral:rRNA from 1 species
AGAGUUUGAUCCUGGCUCAGAACGAACGCUGGCGGCGCGCCUAAUACAUGCAAGUCGAGCGAGAAGACGUAGCAAUACGUUUGUAAAGCGGCGAACGGGUGAGGAAUACAUGGGUAACCUACCCUCGAGUGGGGAAUAACUAGCCGAAAGGUUAGCUAAUACCGCAUACGGCUCCUGGUCUGCGGAUCGGGAGAGAAAGCGAUACCGUGGGUAUCGCGCUCUUGGAUGGGCUCAUGUCCUAUCAGCUUGUUGGUGAGGUAACGGCUCACCAAGGCUUCGACGGGUAGCUGGUCUGAGAGGACGAUCAGCCACACUGGCACUGCGACACGGGCCAGACUCCUACGGGAGGCAGCAGUAAGGAAUAUUGCGCAAUGGGCGACAGCCUGACGCAGCGACGCCGCGUGGGGGAUGAAGGUCUUCGGAUUGUAAACCCCUUUCGGCAGGGAAGAUGGAACGGGUAACCGUUCGGACGGUACCUGCAGAAGCAGCCACGGCUAACUUCGUGCCAGCAGCCGCGGUAAUACGAAGGUGGCAAGCGUUGUUCGGAUUUACUGGGCGUACAGGGAGCGUAGGCGGUUGGGUAAGCCCUUCGUGAAAUCUCCGGGCCUAACCCGGAAAGUGCGGAGGGGACUGCUCGGCUAGAGGAUGGGAGAGGAGCGCGGAAUUCCCGGUGUAGCGGUGAAAUGCGUAGAGAUCGGGAGGAAGGCCGGUGGCGAAGGCGGCGCUCUGGAACAUUUCUGACGCUGAGGCUCGAAAGCGUGGGGAGCAAACAGGAUUAGAUACCCUGGUAGUCCACGCCU